rnacentral:rRNA from 1 species
GACGUAGGGGGCCAGCGUUGUUCGGAAUUACUGGGUGUAAAGGGUUCGUAGGCGGUGCGGCAAGUUGGGAGUGAAAUCUCUGGGCUUAACCCAGAGGCUGCUUCCAAAACUGCUGUGCUUGAGUGUGGGAGAGGCGCGUGGAAUUGCAGGUGUAGCGGUGAAAUGCGUAGAUAUCUGCAGGAACACCCGUGGCGAAAGCGGCGCGCUGGACCACUACGGACGCGGAGGAACGAAAGCUAGGGGAGCAAACAGG